rnacentral:rRNA from 1 species
AUGGCUGGAUGGAGAUACUAUUAUCAAGGAGACCAAUUAAUUAAAGUUGAGGAUCUAUGUAUUGCAUGUACGUGGUUUAGAUGGCAGAUGCAAGAAAUCAUAUUUCUGUUCCUAUUUUUGCCACGCAAGGAACAUGCGAGAGGACAUGUACGUGAUGUAGAUCAGCUCUCUCUCAAGGACAUUGGAUGGGGCCCACCUACAGCAAAAGUAAAGACGGUGCAUCAAUUAGAGAGAGUCCAAGUCGGUUUAGGUAAUAUAGAUAUUCGUACUGUGUUUUUGUUUAAGAAAGAGAUAGCACGCGUUAGGAAAGAGGAGUCCAUCAAAUUUGUUUUCCAAGUUGGUCUAGCAAGUCCGGCUACUACAAAUAGCCAUGAUACGUUAAUUGUAAAAUAG